UUAAAGUUUUAUUCUUACUUAUGGAUUAACAUUAAUUUUGGUUUUACAUGUAAAUUUUAGUGUAAAUAGUAAAAUUUUGUCCUAGAUGGUUGAAAUAUUUAUUUAUUAAUAUGGCAGUAUUUAGUCUUAUAAAUUAAGGAAGUUUAGAUUUAGAAAAUUUAUUAGUAUCGGCAAAAGUCGUGCCAGCCGCCGCGGUUACACGGAGGAUGCAAGUUAAUACUUGUUGAUUUAAAGUUAAAUGAUUAAUUAGUUUGAAGAAUUUAAUAACUAUAUUUAUUAGGUGAAAUUUUAAUUUAUUUGUAUUUAUUUCUGAAAUAAUAGAAUGUUGAAGCUGAGAAAAUCAGGAUUUAAACUAGGAUUAGAUACCCUAUUAUUUUGAGUGUAAAAUUGAUUAUAUCGGAGUAGUAAUAGAUAGGUUCUUGAAACUCAAAGAAUUUGGCGGUGUUUUAGUCCUUUCAGAGGAACCUGUUCCAUAAUUGAUACUCCCCGUUUUAUCUUACUUGAUUUUGUGAUUCAGUUUGUAUACCGCCGUCGUCAGAAUGUCCUAAUAGGGUAUGAAUUUUCUUAAAUUUUGAAGAUGUGAGAUGUCAGGUCAAGGUGCAGCUAAUGGUUAAGAGGAAAUGGGUUACAAUAAAGGAAUUUAAACGGAAGGUAGCUUGAAAAAUUGUUGCUUGAAGGUGGAUUUGAUUGUAAUUAUUAAAAGUGAUUAAGUAUGAAUUAUUAAUUGGCUCUAAAACAUGCACACAUCGCCCGUCGCUCUCAUUUGUUAAGGUGAGAUAAGUCGUAACAUAGUAGAUGCACCGGAAGGUGCAUCUGGAAAGUAUUAA
rnacentral:ncRNA from 1 species